rnacentral:sRNA from 1 species
UUCAAAGAAACAUCGAUCAUACCGACCA